rnacentral:rRNA from 1 species
AACGUAGGACGCAAGCGUUAUCCGGAGUUACUGGGCGUAAAGCGCGUGUAGGCGGCCCGGUAAGUCCGCUGUGAAAGUCGGGGGCUCAACCCUCGAAUGCCGGUGGAUACUGUCGGGCUAGAGUACGGAAGAGGCGAGUGGAAUUCCUGGUGUAGCGGUGAAAUGCGCAGAUAUCAGGAGGAACACCAAUUGCGAAGGCAGCUCGCUGGGACGUCACUGACGCUGAGACGCGAAAGCGUGGGGAGCAAACAGG